rnacentral:rRNA from 1 species
AACGAACGCUGGCGGCAUGCCUAACACAUGCAAGUCGAACGAGACCUUCGGGUCUAGUGGCGCACGGGUGCGUAACGCGUGGGAACCUGCCCUUAGGUUCGGAAUAACUCCCCGAAAGGGGUGCUAAUACCGGAUAAUGUCUUCGGACCAAAGAUCUAUCGCCUUUGGAUGGGCCCGCGUUGGAUUAGCUAGUUGGUAGGGUAAAAGCCUACCAAGGCGACGAUCCAUAGCUGGUCUGAGAGGAUGAUCAGCCACACUGGGACUGAGACACGGCCCAGACUCCUACGGGAGGCAGCAGUGGGGAAUAUUGGACGAUGGGCGAAAGCGUGAUACAGCAAUGCCGCGUGAGUGAUGAAGGCCUUAGGGUUGUAAAGCUCUUUUACCCGGGAUGAUAAUGACAGUACCGGGAGAAUAAGCACCGGCUAACUCCGUG